rnacentral:rRNA from 1 species
GACAGAGGGUGCAAACGUUGUUCGGAAUUACUGGGCGUAAAGCGUGCGCAGGCGGUUUUGUAAGUCAGAUGUGAAAUCCCCGGGCUUAACCUGGGAACUGCGUUUGAAACUACAAGGCUAGAGUGUGGCAGAGGGGGGUGGAAUUCCACGUGUAGCAGUGAAAUGCGUAGAGAUGUGGAGGAACACCGAUGGCGAAGGCAGCCCCCUGGGUUAACACUGACGCUCAGGCACGAAAGCGUGGGGAGCAAACAGG